rnacentral:lncRNA from 1 species
GGUUUAGGCCCGAACACAACUCCACCACCGGGCCUUAACGGAGUUCGGUUCGACCCACGUCGAGCCCGACCCGUUUUCUUUUGCGGGUAGGGUUUAACACCGCCUCCCCGAACUUCAGCUCGGGUGAGAGUUGAAGCAGUGCCGCGCCGUUGGUUACGGAGGUCGGUGAUGAGUCCACGGUGGACGACGGCGCGUGCAGUGUCGAGAGGAGCGGAUUUUAGGUUGAGAGUUGUGGACCCCACUUCGGUACCCUCGAAGGACAGAAUUGGAAUUGUAGCGGCGUCGGAACGGAUGGAGAGUUGUUGUUGUUGUUUGGGUUUACAAAGGAGGUGCUUCGAAGAGUGGAAGGUGGUGCUAGAGUUAGUCUUAGAGAAGAAAAUGGUGGAAGACAAGAAGGAUAAGGAAGAGGAAGUUGCCAUUGUUGGAGUGAAGGAGCAAAGUGUAAAACUUUGGAUUGGGUAGUGAUGAAAUAUGUUGUUAUCCACAAGUGAGGUACAAGGCUAUCAAAGUGCAUUCAUAUUCUUUUUCUAAUAAAAUUUUAUAUUCCCUUUCUACCAAUUCAGACACAAUUUUUUUAAAAUAAAAUUUAUAUAUUAAGAAACUACAUUAAAGGAAAAAAAAAAAAAUUUAUAUAUUAAGAAACUACAUUGAAGGUAGUAUAAGUUACGAUUAUGGACAAUUCAAAAUAUUUAAAAGAUAUGUAAAAAUAAUUAUGAUAAAAAAUAGGUUUGUUUGAAUUGUGAAAUUCUAAAAACAGCGUAAAAUUGAAAUGAGGGAGUAGCUUAUAUUGAAUCUCGAAAAGGUCAAAGAUGUCCUUGAAGUAUUUUAAUUUAGUCUUAUGUGACAUCUAUGUUUCUUAAUUUUGAAUGUGUAUAACUAGACACUUAAAUAAUCAUAAAGUUAAAAGGCAAAAUACAUAUGCAGCCCUUUAAACUUGUUCGAUUUUUUUAUUGAAAUACCUAAACUAAAAAUUGUACCUAUUGAACAACUGGGACACAUGUUAAAGUGUGUUAAUUGAAUAUGUUUGUGCAAUAUUUCAUGAAAUCGAAGAGCGUUAUUUUCAAACGCCAUGACAUGGCAAGAAAGACGAGUCAGGAGCUAACACAUGGAAUUCUGUUUUUUUUUUUAAAGUCAUUCUUCACUAUCUUCUUCAUCUACCUUUUCUGCUCUUUUUUCUUCAGAAAAAAAAUUCGAUUUAUCUUCUUUUCUCGGUAUGUGCAAGUCUCGACGGAGAAAAGUGUGAUUUAUAUUUUAACUACUUUAUCAGAAUUUCUUAUAGCUAAGUUUCAUUAUGUUUUACAGAUGCUCUUUGUUCAGAAUUCUUAUAUCGGAAAAGGAACAAAUAUAUCUCUAAACUUUAAUAAAUAGUAUAAAUAUAUUCUCUGUCAUACUUUGAAUACAAAUAUAUUUUUAUCGUUAAUGAAAAGGUACAAAGAUACCCUCAAACUUUACUAAAUUGUACAAAUAUAUACCCUCUGUCAUAUUUUGGAUAUAUUUUAUACCCUUUUCAUUAAUGAAAAGGUACAAAUAUACUCUUUUUAUUAACGACGGGACACGUAUCAAUAUCGUAUUAGUUAAUCCUUUUUAAUUUAUUUUAUCUGUGAAUAAUUUAAUCUAUCCUAAAUUAUAAUUCAUACCCGAUCAAAUAACCUGACCUAACCCGUGUAAUAGAGAAACUUCGAGAGACAUAUCACGCGUCUCUAUUCAUGCGUGUUUCUUUCUUCCACUCUCUCACACUCACACUCUCUCACUAACCCAAAAAAUCUUAACAAACGCAUCGAUUCAAUUCAUGUUUCGAUCCAUCUACCAUCUAGAAUCAAGUAGAGAUUUGUUUAAAAUCGUAAUGUUGUUUAAUUUUUUUAUGUUAGAAUAAUAUGCUGAUGCUGUUUAAUGUUCCUCAUGAACGACUGUUGUUUGUUUUUACUAAUUCAUAACCAUCAAUGAAUCAGAAAUUGUUUCUGAUUCGUGACCGUUAUUACCUGCUUUAAAUUCAUUGUUACACCAUUGUUCAUCAACUUCAAAGAGUGAACAAGAAGACAACAUUUUAAGAACAGAAACAUGAGAAAAAAUUGCAAAGUUUGGACAUUCGUCGACCAAAUCAAAGUCCUCACUAUAUCACAGGUCGGGUCGGAUUAUUUGGAUCGGGUGUAGUUAUAAUUUAGGAUGGAUUAAACUAUUCAAAGAUAAAAUAAAUUAAAAAGUGUCAACUAAUACUAUGCUGACACAUGUCCCGUCGUUAAUGAGAAUGAUAUAUUUGUACCUUUUUUAUUUAUGACAAGGGUAUAUUUGUAUCCAAAGUACGAUAGAGGGUAUAUUUAUACCAUUUAUUAAAGUUUGAGGGUGUAUUUGUAUAUUUUCAUUAACAAUAAGGGUAUAUUUGUACUCGAAGUAUGACAGAGGGUAUAUUGUAUCAUUUAUUAAAGUUCAGGGGUGUAUUUGUAUCUUUUCCGUUCUUAUAUUAUAGAGAAAAGGUAAUUGGGUAUGUAAAAUUCAUUAAAGGCCAAACACAUUGACAUGCCCCUCAACUUGGCGUCAUCUUUCACUUUGGCACCUCAAAUGGAUGUUGUUCACUUUGGCACCUCAAGUAGCAUACUGAUGUGUCUUUUUGACACUUUUUGCUGAGUAUCAUGAAAAGUGUAACACAGGCAUUUUAAGCGCGUUUCAAGGAUAUUUUCGUAAUUUUCUCAUCUUUCUUCUCUUUCUUCCUCACUCUUUCAAUCCAUUAAUUUGCCAUCAUUUUUUUUCUUUUCUUAACACAUCUGUAUCCCUUCAUUCGAAUUAACAUAGAAAGCUUUCAUAUACAUGCGCACAUUAUUGCCAUUACGUCACUUUUUGUCACCCACUUUCCUCUCCCUUUAAUUUGUAUGUCCCUUCCUUGAUCACUAUUCACUCUUGAGCAACAACAAAUCAAUCAUUUAGUUGAAGGAAAUAUAUUGAACAUUAUGUUCGGGAGGGAUCCAUGGGGAGGAGCAUUAGAGAUAAAUGCAAUAGAUUCAGCAACAGAUGAUGAUAGGACCAAAUUGUUGUAAGAAAUUCCUCAUCAUGUGAUUCUGAAGAACACAACAACUACAAUGACAAAGACACAAUAAAAUCACUAAAUAUGAGAAGAGGGAUACCAUACAAGGCAAUAAGAAAGAUACUUUACCCUCUCUUAAUUUCUUUUCCUUCACAUUGCAAUUUGUUACCUUCAACGAUAAUUUGAUCAAAAAUUGUUGUCAAUUUGGACGGAGAAUGAAAAAUUAUUGUCGAUUUGAUCGUACUGUUGCAGCGGAGAUAUGGGUUUGACCAUCAAAUUGUCGCACUUAUCAAUUUGUUGUGAAUUUGGUGUUAAUUUGGUCGGAUUAUUACAGCGGUUGGAGGAGGGGUUUGUGGAUUGGAGAAGACAAUAUGGAGGGGGUGGUGGGUAGGGUAGGAGAAGUUGGGGUGGCGGUAAAUGACAGGGGUGGGGUGGGGUNNNNNNNNNNNNNNNNGGUGGGUAAGAAGUUGAUAUAAGGUGGGGGUGGGGUUAUUAAUAUUUUUCUAAUUUAAAUUAAUUAUAUAAAAAUUAUUUUUACAAAAAAAUGACAAGUGUUCUUUUAUAAUUGAUCCCUUUCUGUGUCAUCAACUCGUAUAAUAUAUGCACACGAUAUAUUUUUGCUGAUCAACAAAAAAUGUCAAAAUGACACAUCAAUAUGGUACUUGAGGUGCCAAAGUGAAAGAUGGUAUCAAAUUGAGGGGCCUGUCGACAGUGGCAGAGCUACAUAUAAGGUAGGGGGUUCAUCCGAAUCCCCUUCGACGGAAAAUUGUACUAUAUAUACAUGGUUAAAAUUAUUUUUUAUGUAUAUAUAGUAGAUGUCGAACUUCCUUCGGUUAGUUCAUAUGUUCACUUGUGAACCUCCUUGGUGUCAAUCUUGGCUCCGCCACUGCCUAUCGAUGUGUUUGGCCAUUAUUAAAACUGAGCCAGUGAAAAAGAUUCAUUUUUUUUAUUUACUAUUGACCUUGUUUGAUAAGUUCUACUACAAAUUCUAAUAUAUGAUUGGGAAAAAAUUCAAAUAUGCCAUCGAACUAUCAGAAAUGACUCAUUUAUGUCAUCCGUUAAAAGUUUGGCUCAUUUAUGUCAUCGUCGUUACAAAACAGGUUCAUCUAUGCCAUUACUUGUUAACAGUGGUUUUCAAAAAUAGUUUUGCCACAUGUCGUCUUACUAGAGGCCCACAUCAUUAAUUAAAAUAAAGAGAAAAGACUCAAAUAUGCCAUCGAAUUAUCAGAAAUGACUCAUUUAUACCAUUCAUUAAAAAUUUGGCUCGUUUAUGCCAUUGUCGUUACAAAACAGGUUCAUACAUGCCUGUGCUUGUUAAUGGUAGUUUUUCAAAAAUAGAUUUGCCAUGUGUUAUCUUACUAGAGUUUCACGUCAUUAAUUAAAAAAAAAUAGUAAGAAUUGAUUUAUUUUCUCUUACAUUUUGUUCAUACUAGUCAGUGCCUUGAAUCUGUAAGGAAGAUCACCCGUCAUAUCAUUGAAUGAAAAACCCAAGAAGUAUAAAUAUUAAUCGAUCAAAAUGUAUGCAACAGAAAAUGAUUAACUAGUCAUUUGGAGGUUUGUAAGGCUUGGCAAAAGAAUAUUUUAGGACUCACUUGUUUUUUUACAAUUAUAGGAGUUUGGCCUAAGAACAUCUCGAAAUAUAUUCAGUUGUUUAGUUAACUUAAUUGGGACAAUCACAUAAUUUUAAUUAGUGACGUGGACCUCCAGUAAGAUGACGCGGGGCAAAGCUGUUUUUGAAAAACCACCGUUAAUAAAAAAUGAAAUGAAUGAACCUGUUUUAUAACGACGAUGAUAUAAAUGAGAUAAACUUUUAACGGAUGACAUAAAUGAGCCAUUUCGAUAGUUUGAUGGCAUAUUUGAGUCUUUUUCCAUUAUUUUAAUUAAUGAAACGACAUGUGGCAAAACUAUUUUUGAAAAAACCAUCGUUAAAAAGUAAUGGCAUGGAUGAACCUGUUUUAUAAUGGCGAUGACAUAUGAGUCAAAUUUUUAACGGAUGGCAUAAAUGAGCCAUUUGUGAUAGUUCGAUGGCAUAUUUAAGCCUUUUUCCUAUAUGAUUUAAUAAUUUCUUCACUUGGAGUUAAAAAAAACCCUCAAAUAUGCAUUAUUUUUGACGAAAAAAUCUGGUGAUGGCUCAAAAUGAUGCUAGUUCGCGGUAGUCUUCAUGGUCGGUGGUCUUAUAGUUUUCUUUGUGGUUCAUAAAUAGUUAAAUAGAUUAGAAAUAAUGUUUAGAGAAGAUGAUGGAGAUAGGAAAAAUAAAAUUUUGCUCUUUCAUGCUCUUAAAAGUGUGUAUUACACACAUCUGCCAUGCCAACAAUUUGUGUUUAAAAGACACAAUUUUGUAUAUGUUUAAGUGUUUAACAGGUACAAUCUUUAGUUUAGGUGUCUGAAUGAAAAAAAUUAAAUAAGUUUAAAGAGCCUCAUAUAUAUUCCAUCUAAAGUUUAACUAAACUCAUGUGUCUUGCGUGCCCAAUCACGUGAGAUAUGACAUGUAGGAAGCAUCUGUUUAGUUAUUCAAUUUUAUGAUAGUUUAAUAAUUUACUUAUGCACACUCAAAAUUAAAAUACAUAAAUAUUAACAUUAAUUAGUGUAAUUGAAUCACACGUUUAGCUACUAUGCCUUAUGCCUAUUUGAAACUGGUGUAUGGACAUGUGCGUAAACCCCUAGCCAGAAAGUAAAAAAGAAUAAAUUAAAGUUUAUAUCAAAAAUAGUAAAAUACAUAUUUGAGUUAUUUAAUAAAAACUAACUAGAAAAGCAUAAAUUGUUGAAAAUGGUAAGAGUAGGGUGGGCAUGGUAUGGUAUUUGAAAAUUCGAUAAAGUAAUUUUGGUAUUUAAUUUUUAAAAACACUAUAUCAUUAUCAUACGAUAUUAACUUGAUAUGGUUCAGUAUUUUGAUAUUCAAUUUUAAUAUUUUGCUGUAGGGUUAUCGGUAAUCGCAGUUUGUUCCACUUUGUCAAUAUAUACUCGCAUGGGGCGGAUCUACAUGUAGUUUAAAUGAAUUUCCUUCGUCGGAAAAUUACACUGUAUAUGUUGAAUCAAAAUUUUAAUUUACGAUAUAUAUAUGUUAAGUAUUGAAUCCCCUAGACACAAGGCUUUGGUUCAGUGGUGAAGGGGUGCAAAAGUUUUCAAUUUGUGUGAGUUUGAGCUUGGAUAACACCAUUUUUUUUCAAUCUUUUAUAUUAACUUUUGAAUUAAAUAAAUUCCCUUUUAUUUUCUCUUCUCUCUCACUUGUCCUAUCUCCCUUUUGUUUUCUCUUCUCUCGCUUUCAUGGUUACUAAUUUGAUGGUUAACUUCUUUUUCUAUAUUUUUCAUAAAAUUAUGCUACAUACUUUUGUUUGUUGAUUAUUAUCUAUUUUGACUGAUUUAAAAUGGCUUACAUCUUUUCUCCUUAUAAUUAAGGAAAAAUUAGUAUUAGUUUUAUCAUGAUAAUGUAUAAAUAACUUAAACGUAAAGUACAAUUCUGGUAACUUAUUGCACUUUUUAUGUAGUUUCUAAAUAUGUAAUUAUUUUUAAAAGAUUUAAAGAUUGUACGUCUGAACACACGAUCAAAAUAAAGAUAUUUAACUUCCCCGUUUUAUUGUUCAUGUUCAUGAGGUAGCUAGAGUUAAACUUUGUCAAGCUCGCUCAAAUCAAAUUUGACCCGCUUAAUCUGAUCCGAUUUGCUUAUUUUUGAGGUCCUGUUAAAGUGCUUAGUUUUUUUUUAACCCCCUUAAUAGAAAUUCUGGCUCCGCCAUUGUAUACUCGAACAAUAAAGUAUUAUUAUUUUGACUUUUCAAAAGCACGUCUCAAUUGUAUUUUAAUUAUAUAUUACACAUGUAGAAAUAUUAAAAAAGAAGUACAAACAACUCCUUUUGUUAGUCAAUUAAAAAAUAUAUUACAAUCAAGAUAGAGUAUCCAAAGCUCCAAUGCCUCAACAUUUUUAUACUAAUACUAAAUUGUAUAUUUGUUAAAAUUAUAAUAAUACCAAAAUUUUGAUGUCAAAAAUUUGGAUUUGAUAUGAUAAUUUGAUAUAUAUCAUACCAUGUCCACCCCUAGGUAAGAUUUUAAUCCUCUUUAACUAAUUCAAUAACAUAAGAAGUCAUAUCGUGAAUUUUAAACCACACCUUCUCGACAUAAUUAUGUUAUCUGCAAUUACACAAAUUAUUAUUAUUUCAUACAAUCCCAUCAUCAUGAUUUGGUAGUGCUUGAUCUUUAGCAACAAAGGUAACGCUGACUUUUGAAGUUAAUUGCCUUAAACUAGUACAAUUUAUAGUAAUAAUCAAUUAAAAUAAUUUUUUUUAAAAAGAGAAAGUAAAUAAGAAUUAACUUUAGAUAUAACGGUUUUAAUGCAGUGCCCAUCAAUAAUUUUUGGGAUAUGAUCGUCUUUCAACUUCAAAUUUAUGAUAUUUCCCCCAUUAAUACAGUACAAGUAGUAUACGAAAAUGAAGUAGCAUAUACACAUUCUACUUUGGAGCACCAACAUAUGUGAAUUCAGAUACAGCUAAAACAAAGACUGAUUUAAAAGAAAUAGGGAUGCAACACAUCGGUCCUCAGCUAUACAGACAAACAAUCAUAUAUCCUUUUGACAUACACCUACUGUCCUCAGCUUGAAUUCUAUACACACGGAGAUAAUGAAUUGAUCUCUCAUGUACAAAUCCUUGGUGUACUCAACUUAGACCUGAAAUUUACAUCAGAAAAAGAGACAUAUUUUACAUACAUACAUAUCCGAUAUACAUAUACACACACAAAUAUACAUGCAGACAAUUAGGUAGAAAACUGGAGAGAAAAUUAGGUAGAGACUCUAAGUCUCUUUAACUAUUUCUAUCUACCAAUUAAACUGUAUGUAGUUUGAACAUCACAAGCAGCCUCAUCUGCACUUUUGUUCUUCCAUGUGCAUAUUUCAAUUACGUCUUUCAUGAUUCUUAGAUCCUUGGUAGCACUGCUCCAUUGAUAUAUAGCAGCAUCCCUUCCUCUCGCAUGCACCCGGUCUAGUAUCUCUUAGGUCGAUAUCCAGUAGCUCUAGUAGCAGCAGAGGAAGAAGAUCGGUAGUAGAAGGUAACGAACUAGAGACUCAGUGAGAGAUCGGAAGUAAAACUUGACAAUUGGAAAGGCGGAAAAAUAAUUGUACAGCUCUUCUACUCAUGUAGAGAGAAAGCUAUGAGAGCAGCGCAGGCGAGUUGUCUCCUUUUGCUAUCCUGAUAAUAUUUGAUAUUGGCUAGCUUAAAGAACAACAAUUUACACACUAAAAGGUAUGUUACUACAACAAAAAGGAACUUUGAUUUAUACCACAAAUAGUGACCAAUUAACUCCUUGAAAGGUAGGUAGUAAGAGCUACUGAACCUUGAGGGAACUAGGGAAUGAAUAUAGGAGCCUUAGGCAUAUAAUUAGGCAACUCUCUUAAGGAAGAAAAGAAGGAAAAUAUAACAAGUAAUACUGACCUUUGAUAUUUGUCCAAAUACUAUACUGUUAUCUGGUUCACUUCAUUCGCUCGCAGUAUCACUUGCUUCUUCCCUUUUUCCAUAUCGAAAAUUUAAUUUGAACUAAAGAAAUGGACAAAAAAUAUCUAAAGGUGAAUUGCUGAUUUUUUGCAUUAUAAACUUACAGAUGUAAUGCUUCUACUUAUAAUGUUUCUACUUACUUUGAAUAAGAUGAGGUUUAUACGGUCACAUCCUUCAAUGGAUUCGACUUCUUCCUUAAUUCUCACAGUUGAAGCCUCCAAAGAUUCAUGGCAAUCAAUCAACUUAAUCUGUUUCAGUGUCUGAAUAUCUGCAAAGCUAAGAGGGAUCUCCUCUAGGUCGUCACAAUCUUUUAUAACAAGUGUUUCAAGCAUAGGAAAAGAUUCCUCUGAGACAUCCCACCUUGAGAUAUUUAAGCCGUCCAGUUUCAAGAACUUAAGUUUGUGGAAUGUGAUGUCUCUGAGGCACCACUCUUCCGACUCAUAAACCAAAUCCUCUAAUUUAAGACUCAGACACUCCAGACUUGGUAGUCCUGCAAUGACAGAAAUCAUGCUUUCCGAAAUGACAGAUUCACUUCCACAACUACCAAUCCCUCUUGUAUACCUGCUUAGUACCAACUUCCGUAAAUUUGAAGGCAAGUGUAACUUGGAUACAACUAUGGAUGACUCAAUGGAAAGGCGAAGUACUUGAAGUUGGGUAAGACGCUCCAAUGUGGGAAAUAUCUCUGCAGAAUCAGCUUUCACACUAUCAGCAUGGAUGUCAAGUUCUCGAAGAUUAGGACACAUCCAUAAUAACAUAUCCACACUAUCAGCAUCACCAAUUUUGAUUACAACUCGCCUUAAUAUCCUCAAAUUUUCCAAUUUGGAGGAUUCUUCAAAGAUCUGCUGCAAAUUGUUCUCCAAAUCAAAUUCAGCUUUACGAAUCUCAACAUGCCUUAAUUUUUCCAUUUUCCAGAAACUCGCAGGUAACACUGAACAAUCAAUACCCUUCACAAUUAAAGUUUCAAGAUGGGACAAAUGUAAUUCUGGGUGAAAGACAAAUUGAUAAACAGAAACAGCGAGGUACUUCAGGUGAAUUAGUGGUUUCAAUGUAGCUGACCUCAAAACACCGUCACCAUGAGAACUCAAAUCCAAGACCUUAAGAAGUCGAAAUUCACUGAUCUGAUCGAAGAGAUCAAAACAAAUUUCGAAUGACUGAUUGGUCGUUAUCAGUGACCUCACAUGUUGGUGGGAAGGUGUUCGUAUUUUGGAUCCCUGAGAUGUAAAAUUGGAAUGCUCUGUACUGAAACUGAAUCUCACUCUAUUUUCUUUGCAUCCAGAAGGUUGAAGCUGGCUACGAUGCCCCUUCACUGCCAGCAUAAACUUUUCUUCUCUACUCCUCUCCAUGCAAAAGUGAAGCACUACAUCAUGAACAUGGCAGUAUUUGACCUUACCAUUAUAUUCUCUCUUUGAAACCAUUACUACGUUACUACUGAUGAGAUCCAUCAAGUAACCUUCAGCUGCCUCUUCCAUUAAUCUCCCGGAUUCAACGUUCUGCAUGAACCCUUCCGCGAUCCAUAGACUUAUCAAUUUAGACACUGGAAUUCUUGCAUCCUCUGGAAACAUUCCUAUAUAAAGAAGGCACGGUCUUAAAUGAUCAGGUAAGUUAUCAUAACUUAACUGCAUAGUUGAAAGACUAUAUUCUUCAGACUCGCCAAGAUAUGAAAAUAAAGCAUUUUUAACCUCAUGCCACCAAGAUUCUUCCAUUGGCCUUUUUUUGAUUAUUCCAGCUAUCAAGACAACCACUAGAGGCAAUCCUCUGCAUCUUUUUGCAACUGCUAGACUCACAUCUUGUAGUUCAAGAGGGAAAUCUUCCUCUUGAAACACCUUUUUCUGCAACAAUUUACAACUCUCAUCUGGUGUGAGGAAUGGAAGGA